rnacentral:rRNA from 1 species
GCAGCCGUUGACUCCUGAGGGUUGUAACCUUAUCAGAGCUUGUAAUUUAAGUAAGAUAAGGCCUGGUGAAUACUUGGAAGGGAGACCUCCAAGGAAUAAAAGGAGACCCAUGCU